rnacentral:rRNA from 1 species
UACGAAGGGGGGGCUAGCGUUGUUCGGAAUCACUGGGGCGUAAAAGCGCACGUAGGCGGACUUUUUAAGUCAGGGGGUGAAAAUCCCCGGGGGCUCAACCCCCGGAACUGCCUUUGAUACUGGAAGUCUUGAGUCCGAGAGAGGUGAGUGGAACUCCGAGUGUAGAGGUGAAAUUCGUAGAUAUUCGGAAGAACACCAGUGGCGAAGGCGGCUCACUGGCUCGGUACUGACGCUGAGGUGCGAAAGCGUGGGGGAGCAAAACAGGAUUAGAUACCCGCGUA